AAGAGAUGGGGGGCUCUUGAUAGUCCAGAAGGAUGCUGUGGUGGGUAUGAUAGGCAAUACCUUGCACUUGUCAUCCUGGUACCCUUCAGUCCUGAUCUGCAAAGUCGCACGAAUACUGCAACAGGGAGCAAUGCCCUAGUGCAAAGCCGUCCAUCGCUGCAUUGCCAUCAUCUCCCUUUCCUCAGUAUCACCAGCACUGUCCCUGCUGCACCCCAAAACAGGCCAGGCCUGGGUAGGUCAUGGUCCUUCCAUGCUGCAGUUCCCAUCAGAGGGAUUUAAGCUCACACUUAAGCGUGCAGCGUAACGCAGAGCCAUCGCAGCCGGAGUGCCACCGCACCGGGCAAGGACCACGUUGUCUUUCUGCUCCGAGGAGGAGGAGAUGGGUCAUCCCCGAUGUUUGAACGGACCAAACAGCAUUGCAGCACGGCGGCAUUUGAGGCUGUUUUCAUCUUGCUGGCAGGCUGAUGCUUCUCCCAAGGAAAAGCUCAGCCAUGCUGGUGCCUCACACAGAGGUCGCAUCCAGCCCCCUCCCCAUCCCAUAAACAGCCAGCACAAAGGGAAAAACCCAUGGGCAGCCCCAGCGCACGCAGCACUGCCUGCCUUGGGUGGUCAAACACAUGGGGCUGGGGGGGUUGGCUGUGAAAAU